rnacentral:snRNA from 1 species
GUGCUGGCUGGCUUCAGCAGCACAUAUACUAAAGUUGGAACAAUACAAAGAUUAUCAUGGCCCCUGUGCAAGAAUGACCACAAUAUAAAAAAUUUUU